ACUGAUUCAGAACUGAAGCGCAAAGGGGGAAUCCGACUGUUUAAUUAAAACAAAGCAUUGUGAUGGCUUUUGAAUGUGUUGAUGCAAUGUGAUUUCUGCCCAGUGCUCUGAAUGUCAAGGUGAUGAAAUUCAAACAAGCGCGGGUAAACGGCGGGAGUAACUAUGACUCUCUUAAGGUAGCCAAAUGCCUCGUCAUCUAAUUAGUGACGCGCAUGAAUGGAUUAACGAGAUUCCUACUGUCCUUACUUUCAAUUUAGCGAAACCACAGCCAAGGGAACGGGCUUGGGUUGAUCAGCGGGGAAAGAAGACCCUGUUGAGCUUGACUCUAGUCUGACACUGUGAAAUGACUUAGGAGGUGUAGAAUAAGUGGGAGUGUUUUACAAUCAUGAAAUACCACUACUCUUGAUGUUAUUUUACUUAUUCUGUGAUGCUGGUGCUUGCUGUGGCAACUUGUUGUGUGAAUGUAAACUGAAGUUUGUGCACUUGUGUGGAAAACACAGUUAGGUGGGGAGUUUGGCUGGGGCG
rnacentral:rRNA from 1 species